UUAUGAGUCGCUUAACUAAAGCUCGAACGAUGUCCCUUCUGGUUUGCCCGAGAUUCCUGUAAUAAUGCUUGAUCCAUAGUAACGUAAGUAGAAAUGGGGAGGUCGAAGCUAGCGGUCAAGCUGCUCCAUUAGACCCGAAGCUUUCUUCUUAUCCCUUUUGUCUUCUUACGUAGGAUGAUUUCAUCCGAGUGUGUGUAAGGCGGGUGGCAUUCUUUGCCAUAAGCUCUAAGCAACCACCUACUUGUAAUAUGGUAUCCUUUCUCUCUUCCUGGGACUUGAGGGGAGGUUAGUACCGCGAAUAAAGUAGUACUCGCUACCCAGCCAGCCAUCUACUUGACAAGAAAGAAUCUCUCGGAAAAGAGAGCGCAAUCUCUCUUUGCUUGUGCCACCUGGGCGGAAGAUAUAUCUGAGUUGAGCUCGUCGAAGAAGAAACUGCUACUGACAUCCAGGGAUGAGGGCUCAGAUCAGAGUGAACAAACAGUGCGAAAGAGACUGAGAAGGGGAAGCAUGCGCCCGAAAGGGGUGCCAUUGCUCCAUGUAUAAUAUAACUCGGGAUGUUUCACUAUAUUAUAUCCCCAUUGCUAAACGCAAUAGGAAGGGAAAGAAACGUUUCUCCUUCUACACAUUUAUGAAAAUAAAUGGCUUCCCGUCGCUCACAGCAGCUUCUCUAGUUUAAUUAUCGCCAAAAACAAAGGAAAUCGACUUAGUCGCUCGCUUGUACCUCCAUUUCCAAUGGCUAAUUUACGCAUGUUGUACUUCUCCAUAGUUUGCUCGAAUCGAACUUGUCCGUACCGACAUAAUCAGUAUCUCCCGGACUACCAAGGCAAAAAAACCCAUUAAACUAGUGACUUGAAUCAUACUUCCUUCCUCUUUGAUUGAGGAAACCUAACUACAGGAACUGCUUAAGUCAAGAACAAACAGAUGGAGUAUUUCUUCCUUUCGAACUAUAAAAAGUUAGGCUACAGCAAGCGCAAGUCAUCCCCUUGCGAAGUGCAAAACAAGGGAAAUCUGACUUCAUAAAAACAAGUUGAACUAUCGUUCCCUUCAUUGACCUACUAACUCGUGAUACAACGCGCGUUUCUUCCUCAGAAUCUCAUUUCAAAAGGCAUGAACCAUCCCCUAACUUGGAAGGGGACAGGAACAGAAGACAAGUGUUAAGCAAGCCUUGUUUCCUACUUGCUGACCCUAGAACAACAAGAGGCAACAGGCUUGCUUAACACUCGAACAAGAGGAAAUCGCUUCGUCUUUUUGCCCUUGGCGCGCCUUCUACUUCUGUCGGCACAACUACGUAUUUAUUAGAAUAGUACUUUGCUCGGUCCUGCUUUGGACCUAUGAUCCACGGGUGAUUAAUCAGCAUCUACAGCUUUCGCUUUGGGUCGGGAAUUUGGAGAGAUUGGCUCUAUAGAAAGGGAAGCGAGUCUUUGAACUAUGUUAGCGCCGAGGGUUCACUAAACCUACUAUCCUUCUGAAUUUCGUGUUUCGUAACUCAUUAGAUUCCUAGAUUUUUAGCGGGGGCUUUGUAAGAGAAAUAGUUAGAUCUGUAACAAUCAAAAUAAGUCGGGGUUCAGUUCAUUAGAGCAAGGAGAAAGUUCACUAGAUAGACAGGUUGGACAAUGAGGGCUUUUACUCUCCCUAUCUCGAGUAGGAUCAUUGAAAAGAAAGAAAAGGAAUGGUUUCUUCAACUGGCUUGUGCCAUAGCUCAUAGCUCGAAUCAGGAUUGGAAAAAUGGAAGGAAAGUAAGGCUCUAGAGCCUCUGAUGAGGAAGACCUCGGAUCUUUCAGAAGGAAUAGGCCUACCUGCUUUAGCUUUUAUGGUUCACCGCGGUCUUCUUCUUCCUAGCCCAAGGCGGUUUCUCUCUCAAACUAAGUCAAAUCCGUAAAAUUGUAAUGAAGAGGAAAGCAGCGGCUUUGACUCUCUCACCUAACAGGUCGGUAUUCAUGUCCACCAGAAUUGUCUACUGAUUGGCUGUAGUUUACUUCCCGAUCAGAAGGAUCCGAAUCCUGUUUAAUAAAGACCCAUUGCCACCUAGGUAUCCUUUAUCUUCUCUCGUUCCUCUUUGGACAAAGGUUUCAAACCACCAACUCUUUAGAAAUCUCUGAGGAGUAUGCAUCUGGGUAAAGCAAUGAAUAGGAUGUAGAUGAAGCCCGGUAUGACUCAACGUUUUCACUUUUUGCAAGGUCUGAUGAUCAACGAGCUAAAAAAAGGGGGGUAUGCGCGCGGGUACCGGUGCAGUUAAUAAUUGAGGUCAGUCGACCAGGAUCUUAUGACUCUUGUCCCUUUCAAACUUAAUAGAUUAGAGGAUUCUAGCGAUCCAGGCGAGUAAAAUGAAGCAGACGUGGCAGCCGCAGGCAAUGAUCCAAUACCUUUCGUUCUCUUUAGCACUCAUUUCUAAUUCCUUUAGCUUGGAUCUUUUGAAUCUGGAUAGUUAUGAGUACAAAACUCAAUAAUCUAUCCUAGGAUCCCGUGAGGAAGAAGCAAAAGCAGCUGUGGACGAUGCUGGAGGCAAGCCUGCAAUGUGGGAUUAUGAAGCCUACUUAGUUCAGAACUUUUGUGAUGAUGAGCAAUCACAUGCAUACGCAGAAGCUAAAAUCUUAGGUGGUGUGACCAGAUCAAAUAAGUUUUGCUGCUUAAUGCUCAUUUUAUUUUGUUUUGGCAAAAGAAAGACAUGCUGAUGCAAAUGAUCGAGCGAAGGAUUACGUACAAAGAUUUCUCCUUGCUUUUCGGUGGUUGCUGAAUCCUACUGGGUAGGGUAGACCAAGAUGUUUGACUCGAGGACUCUUCCUACUAUUCCAGAUUCCAUUUCAAUGGUAGCUUCUUGGUAGACUUACUUUCUAUGGUACACAAUCCAGUCAAUAAACCUGGCUCAUAGGACUUUACAAGUGAUCGUGCAUCUGCCACUCUUAUGCCUUCUUUUCCUCGUCCCGAUUUGAACUAUGUUAAUAAUUUUGCUAGAUCGGACCAUAAAAUGGAAUUGAGCAGGCAUCCCUUGGUCCAAUAGAUAUUUCCUUAUGUAUGAUAGAACUUAGGUGCACCCCAACUUGGGGCUAGCGAGCAUGUCUGUCAUCUUCCUAGUAAGCACGUCCUAGGUGCAUUAACGGCUGAACAAUCUCACUAUUCGAUGAACUAGGGUGGGCCAGGGAACUCGUAGCUUAUGCACGCGCACGAGGCAUGAAAAAGGAGGAAAGUCAUUACAUAGGAAAGGAGCACACGCCAUAGAUGAAUUAUCAUGUUAUGCCUGGUAAAGAAGCACACUGACUUCAGAAGAAAGAAAAGAAGUCAUCCCAGUCAUCUACUAUUUUCUGCCACUCAAAUCCUGAUGGAUUGAAGAGGAAUGGAGCGAAUAGCCAAGUGAUAACCAAGAACCCUGAAAGGGCGCGGGAAGAGCCCAAGGUUAUCCCAAUUCCUAUGAUCCUCGUAAAAAGAGAGGAUGGAUUGAGAUACCCCUUUGCUAACUCCAUAGUUAGGAGAGGUGCGUCUGCGGUGAGCAUAAGAAGAUUGCCCUGAUAAUGGAAUUCCGGAUCCGCUGUGGUGAGUGAUUUUCUUAGGACUGUCAAAAGAGCUCAAGUUUGGCUGAUAGAGAACUCCACCAAACGUGAUACCCUCCCCAAUGGGGGAUUGACCCGAGUAUUUAGUCAUAUUCUUCUUAGGAGGCUCCCUUGAGCUUGUGAAUCUAUUCAAACAUGAUCGCCAUAAUGACUACUGAUAUACCGAGCUCUAAUUGAGUUGAUUUAGCAAUAGAAAAACUACUACUUUAGCAGCUAUGCGAAAUGGAAGUUUCCUUCUUCUUGCUUGUUUGGCCGUCCGAAAGCAGAUACAGAUAUCGGGGAGAAAGCAGCUCUCUGAGCGAUGGAUACCGAUCAAUCUCGGUUAUUUUCAUUGAUCCUGGCCUAUCUCCAUAGCGUUCACCCAGAGGGAAUUCACUCAGCUCUGGGCCGCAUCCAUCUGGUUGGCAUGAGAAAGAAGGCAAUUCCUUCCUUGGGUCAGAUCUCCGUUCCGGGAUGGAAGAAAGAAAUGAUGGUUUGGAUGAGCAAUUGGGAAACACACACGGGGUCAUGGAUGGCUACCUAAUGUGAGAUGCAUGCAUUUCGGAUAGAAUGUCACACUGGCUCUGGAGUGCCCGGGGGUGAUAGAUAUAUGGAUAUAUAGAAGGAAGGGAACAUCGUCUGCGAGCUCUCUCUCCUAAUCCACUUUCUUAUUGCAAAGGCUCCAACAGAGCAAAGUUGUACAAAAAUAAGUAUGCAUAUGGUCGGUCCCCUUCGAAAGGCAAUGGAAAGCAAGGGUCCCGCUAGCAUUGAGGAAGGAAGCGAUGAGACCAGUUCAGCCAUAACCUUGAAUGAAUUUAUAUAAGCCAUGAUCUUGUACCGGGUACGGAGACUCUCUAGUGAUGCUCCCCUACCCCCCUCUGCCUAGGGUAAUAAGCUGGAGUGAUAAGCUUAAGCUAAUAGCACAUAGAGAGCUAAUACCAUAUCCCGCCCGGCUCCGCCUUUAGCUGACCCAGCCCGGACUUCCCCUUCAAGCAUUCAAGAAUAAGCAUGGGAGUCAAAUAGAGAUGGCACUUGGAAACUACCAUUGGUAUUUCAGGUUUCACAUUGUACAGAAUGAAAUCAUCGAUAGGGCUCGCCCCGAAGAGAGGAUGCCGCGCUUAAUAGAAGAUUGUUUAGUUUAGGCAUUUAGCUUAGCUUAAAAUAGAUAUGUAACAUGAUGUACUUACACGUGCAACCACUCCGUCUUCUAGACCGGGGUCAUAAUUGAACCCACAACAAACCUCAGAUGAUGUGACUUCUCCACCCUCUAGGCAAUUAAAAACUGGCCCCAUUAGCUCGAAUUUACUAAUGUUAGAAAGGAAGAUGAAGGUGCCAAAACAAAGCAUUUGUUUCAAGCGCUGUCGUGUCCUUGAGCUUCAAAGUCUCCAAAAUCUUGAUCGAGAAGAGUAAGCAUUGCCUGGUGAGGAAGAGCGGAAGCAUAGGUUUUUGGAUCCUAGUGAAGGAGUUUCAAGCACGGAUUACGCUUCUAAAGAGCACUAUUUGGCUUGGCCCCUUCCUGCCAAAGAUUUGAGAUAACUAAAGCGACUCGCAGUCAAAACUGGUGGAGCCAACGCCAAAGAGGAAAUGUGUAGAUAGUAGGUGAGCGCCUAGCCCCUUAGUCUUUCAGAUCGGAAGAUUCAUUGGUUUCAUCCAAAGGCUUCUGUCUCGUCUUCCUCAAAUUGUUGAUCGAGGAUCAAAGACAUUGCUAAAGCAGACGCCUACCGAACGGGAGUUCUUGUACCUGCUAGAACGGCAUCUGCUCGAACUUUUGUUUCUUAGAAAAUAAAAUAUGAACUCACAAUGUGCAACAGAAAUGUACCCACCGGUUGAGAAACCACCAUAGUUGGAUGAUUGCUCGCGCUAGUAAGACAACUUUGACUCUUCUUGAUCGUGAUCUGGUGAUCGGUCACACCCUCUUUAGAGGUUCUAGGCCCUGCCUAUUGAGUCAUCUACCACAGAAACAGAGUCUCGUGAUGAUCCUGGUACAAAAGGUUCGUCAGGCCCGCAUUCAGAGACUUCUGCCUCAGACUCAUAUCCAUAAAGAUAUUCUCUCGCUUUCUAGCUGUACCCUUCUUCACACCCACCAUGGAGGUUAGAGAUUUCCCGUUAUCAACAUUGUCCAGGCAGGACUCUAUUUUUAGAAUGCUCGGAGCCAACCAAACAGUUUGCUACAUCCCUCGAGAAAAUCAAAACUUCAUUGGAAAUUCAGGACCAACUUAGGAAGGCACGGACUCAUACUUUGUAAGGUCGAAGUCCACACAUAAGAAAAUAACUAGUGCCUAGGAAUACCCCCUUCUUCAUUCAUCCAUUUAGGUAAGAAUGGAUCCAGGGAACCUGGCUCGGGAACAGCCCUGAAAAAACACGGUAAGAGAGUCCAAUCUCUGAAAUAUAGCAUUUGAUCUCCUAAGUAGUAGUAGUAGAAGGCUUAGUAUCUGACUUGAUCCAAUAGAGUCAGAACACACAGUAGAUCCAGAUUCCACACCUUGCUGUGGACUGGGGAGAGAGCAGCUCUUCGAAGCUGGGCGUUCUGUGUGAUUAUGGAGGAACUGUAGUACUCGCCCCAAAAUGCAAGCCGGGAUAGAUACUUAAAGAAAGGGGGAGCGGUGGGCCUUCAAAAAGGAGCGAGGGAGUGAUGGGCAACCUUUUUCUAUAUGUUGCUCGUGAGCCGCCAAGUACCAGUCUCGCAACAGUACUGGCGUUAAAGGAUCGGUCCUUCACUUGCGGAUCGUUCGCGAGUCGAACUCGCUCUCUUGCCACGCCUUUGACUCACGAACUCGAGUCGGACUCAUUCACUGCUGACUUUUUUGAGGAUCGUUCAUUCUUCACUCUCUUGCUAUUACCCGCAGGGAGCGCUGCAACCGACGGUGCAUAUUAUCAUAUAGAAAGAAGCGAAGCGUAGCGAUUGGUACUACCGGAAAAGUGUCGCUAACCGCUAGGCAAUAGAGUCAGCUUACGGGGUGGGGCGCAAGCAAGCGUAGCGAAUCACAUAGAGUUGCCCCUACCUGCCAGCGCGCAGAUAGAUAGGGCGGGCGAGCGCAGGGAUGGAUGUCUGAGCGGUUGAAAGAGUCGGUCUUGAAAACCGAAGUAUUGAUAGGAAUACCGGGGGUUCGAAUCCCUCUCCAUCCGCGAGGUCAUAAGUUCUCUCUUGCCUUAUCUAUAGAUAAGAACGAAUCUCCUCGACUCGACUGAUAUGAUGGAUGGAAUGGGUAGAAGGUUGAGGUUAUUGUGUGUUGAUUUAGUUAGGACUUUGUCUCCCUUCCGUUAUCUUCCGCCCUGGGUGGAUGACCUAUGGGAGCUAAGUCGAAGAUCUCGGUGUCGUCAUGAGUGGUUGAUAAACAACGAUUGCAGUUUGAUUUAGGGAGUCCCAACCCUGUGAAGCUUAAUAGACAAAGAAAACAAUAGAGACUUCCGGGUAUAGGGUGACGACCUUAAUGAAUCAAGUAUUCAGGUGACAGAGUUUUGAGCUACAUAAGCGCUCAAAUUCCGGAAUACUUAUUGCCCCAAAAAUAUGAUCAACCCCAGGUACAUUUAUUAGGUUUUGAUCUGAGGCUAUCCUGGUCUGCAGGACCCAACACAAGUAUUCAUCCUUUCCAAUCUGAAAAAGGUGUUGCCGAAAGCUUACCCUCUUCCACACGGAUGCUACAGCCGCUAUCACUUUUGCAGGAGGGGAAUUACAAAGUUCGCCUCUCGACAUCUUGUUUGGUAAGCGGAAUUUUGACCCAGGCGCCCUAGUGUUGCCUAACCGUUCGGCCGGAGAUGUCGGAUGCGAGAUCUUUAGCUACUUGUAUCAAUUUGCCGCAGUGUGCUUAGAUACAAUGGGCUGGCAGCUGAGGCUUGGCAGGAUGGGGGAGUUAAUUAAGGUCGAGGGAGCAGGAAAGAGUUUGUUAUUCGCUAUUGGCUUAGUACGGCCUAUACAUAAUAGGGCCAUGACGGUUUUGGCAAGGCCUUGAACUUCAUAUAUCCCUUUUUUACUCAAUCCAGAAUACCGAGAAAGUCAGAUUGAAUCAUUUUGUCGACCUUUCCUUUGGAUUUAUUAUCAUAGGUAGUGUUCGAGAUCGCCUCUGUGCGGUGAACGCUCGAAUGUAGCUAACAUCAGUUUUGUCCUCGCGUGGUUGAAGGAGAUGCUGCUGCUGGAUGGAAUGCUUCCGGGGCGCCAUGAUCCUUCUAUCAGGAAUAGAAUAAUCGAGGGCACUGACUGACUGCAUCAAUCAUCGCUCAGUGAGCUAUUAAUUGCCGCCAAUAGCGCUUCGCUUGCAUGCAAGGCGGCUAAUAAAAGCGCCUGGUAGACGCGCAUAGAUGCAUUUUGAGUACUGAUGGUACUGGACAAGCUCUAGGGGAAUAAUCUCUUUCUUAUUUCUUUCUUAUUUCUUUCCCAUGACGACUAGGAACGGGCAAAUCAAGAAUUUCACUUCGAAUUCUGGACCUCAACAUCCUGCUGCUCAUGGUGUUUCACGAUCAGUAUUGGAAAUGAACGGAGAAGUGGUGGAACGUGCGGAACCACAUAUUGGAUCACUCCAGUGCGGCACGAAGCCGCUGAUGCUGAGUAGGCUCCUAUGCCGCUAGCACGGUGGAGGUUCCGUAGCGCGUCAUGAGCACCGGGCAAAGGGACGGUUGAGCAACUCAAGCGAACCGCCCUACCUGACUUUGGAUAAAGAUAGAAGGGAGAAGGUUGUGAAGGUGGCCUCGUUAUCCACACAUCUGGUCGGAGGACCGACCUGGGUUUUAACGAGCGUAGGCGGGUCCUGGAGUGCCCGUCAAGGGCGCUAGCGCAUACCCUGGGGUGAUCAUCACCACCUGCACCUCACAUCUCGGCACAGUGGAACGUGUAACCCGCCUGCUGUCCAAGUCAACCACUGAAUUUCCUGUAAUUCAUAGCGCCUAACAGAACAUAGCAGCAAGGGACAACCCACCCAUACAGACAGCCUGCGGGGAGGAUGGCACUACUGGCAAAGACCGUCUGGCGAAAACGCCGCAGGCGCGAAGCAUGGUGGGCCUGCGCCGGGGGAGCAUAGGAAGGAAAGGGAGCCCGGACGGUGGAAGAGCCAGGGGAAGCCGGGUCAUUUGACGGAAAUGGAAGGUCUGAGCGGCUCAUUCAUUCUGGAAAAAAGAGGGGGGGAGCGAGCCAAUGUAUCAAUGAAUAGAUACAGUCAACGGUAUUAAGACAGCGCUGCCUACACGCGAAUUUGCUUUCGAGGUCGAGCAGUCUCAAUUUCACUACAUGAUUUUAGAAUGAAUGCUGGGCUGGGCCACCUCAAAUGGCGUGAGCCGCAUGCGGGGAGACCCGCACGUACGGUUUUCAGGGGGAUCCGGCCGGCCGGCGCCCACCCGACUAGAGGGACUGAGAAAUUAAUCGAGUACAAAACUUAUCUUCAAGCUUUACCUUAUUUUGAUCGUUUAGAGGGGGAUCGCGGAGUCACUGAAUGAAGUCCUCCCUCCCUUUCUUUCGGAGGUGCUGACCCGCUGCGAGGCAGAUAUGACUAAGUGACAUAUUGAAUAUGGCGACGACUACAACAUGUCGUAGAAGGAGAUAAGAGGUGGAGCCAACGACCCACUAAGACUCACGUAUCUACAACUACAUUCCCGAGCGGCAGUCAAACGGAGGCAUGAAUGCAAGAUGCCAGCGAAAUGAUCGACCAGACAGAGGCUAGGGCAGCUUUCUUCCCACCGCGUCCUUCCUUGUGUGUCGGAGAUACAAAGAGAGUGCACCAGAAAAGAAGGGGAACUGAAUCGAUCUAUUCCAUGGCGAAGCAUCCGAAGCAUAACUGCACACUCACACGAUCUUUGCCGAGAGAUAGGAGCAUUCGGUGGAACCGGUGAACUACACUUGCUUCUUGAUAGAUGUGUGGGACAGAGGGCUCGUGGUACUUGCUGCCCGCCCUUCCUCCGCUUUGAUAACCGUGUGAACGGAGAGUGGGCAGAGCAAAAGGGAAGGAGGUCCUCAUACGGAGUCGCACACUUGAGCAGUGCGGGAGACUGGAGAAUGGGUCGAGUAAACUCCCUUAGGGCCGAUUAAAUCACAGACGAGGAACUUUUCUUUCUUUUUUUCUUUUUGAUUUGAAGGGUAUGUUCUCAAAAAAGAAAGGCAGAGGUAAAUACUUCGAAGAGGCGGCUCGGUAGGGAUGGAAUGGUCAAUAGUCAAGUCAAGGAUGACUUCUUUGUUGGCGAAACGAUGGGGGAGAGAAAGCACGCCAGUGAUUCUCUGAGCCGGUCUUCAUUUCCAACGGCUCGGGAAACAGGUCGAGAUAGAUGACAUCACCUUUUUAUCCUCUUCCUUACCGGGAAGGCGCACUUCUCUUCUUCUUCUGGCCUUCACCUCCUGCCCGGCCCAGAAAUAGAACCCAGCCCCCUUUCUGAUCCAUUCAUUUCUGCAAGCAGGCGGGAUCCAGAGCUAAGCCCCCCUCCUAUUCGAAGCCGGGUGUGGCCUCGCCCUUUUGCUCUUCCUUCGGUUUGGCUCCACGAAGGCGCCGCCUAGACUAGGAGCCCCACUCAUAUUCAAAAGGUGCCCAGCUUUCAAGACGAUGAUAAUAAUUAGUCAACUUUUUCCAAUAUCAUGGAAUAGCAUGGCCCGGGGCUAAGGUAACUCCAGUGGGAGAGCCGUGUUAUGGGUGACCUUAUUGCACGGUUCAGAGAGCACUUGUGUAUGUGAUGCAAGUGAACGUGUACGAAAAAGCUGUCGUAAAGUUUCGUUGUUUGUUCCGUCGUUGACCCUAUCUAUGUUUCUACGAUGGCCCAAGAACACGCUCAUUCUUCAGCCGUAGAGAGACUUUUGAAUUGUGAGGUACCAUUACGAGCUCAAUAUAUAAGAGUGUUAUUCUGUGAAAUAACUGGAAUUUCAAAUCAUUCACUUGCUUCAACUACUCAUGCUAUGGAUGUGGGAGCAUCAACUCCGUUCCUUUGGGCUUUUGAGGAGCGGGAGAAAUUGUUGGAAUUCUAUGAAAGAGUCCCGGGAGCCAGGAUGCAUGCCAGUUUCAUACGACCUGGUGGAGUGGCACAAGAUCUGCCUCUUGGCUUAUGUCGAGAUAUUGAUUCCUCCACACAACAAUUUGCUUCUCGUAUCGACGAAUUAGAAGAGAUGUCAACCGGCAACCGUAUCUGGAAACAACGAUUAGUGGAUAUUGGUACUGUCACUGCACAGCAAGCAAAGGAUUGGGGAUUCAGUGGUGUAAUGUUAAGAGGUCGUGCGACAUGAAGACAUUGAUAGCAAUAUGGGGGAAGUUCCCAUCAGGCAACAACGGUUCUGCCUGACCCUACAAAAGCAUGCAUAUGUUGUCAGUGAAGAUUUUGUGUGAAGCCUUGGAGACGACGUACCCGGGGCUAGGGUGAGCUGAGGGGGGGACAGCGUAAGUGAGCGAAUGUGUGUAAGACCAGUCAAAGAUUCCUAUUCUAGGCGGGGCGGGCCAUCAACCUUCGAAUGGUGUUGGUCCUACGGACCGUGAACGGAUUCGCCUCUGGCCUCUGGGCACGUCGGAACCGCAUGAUUUCACCGGGGUGGGAGUUUUCUCCUUGAUCAAGAGCUAGGAAGGGUUCUCGUAUUGGUUCGACCAAGAACCAAUACGAGAACCCUUCCUUCCAGCCAGAAUCCGUCUUUCUUGUCCUUUGCAUUCGAGGAAUGGGAUCUGCCUUGUGGAAACAAAAGCUAUUUGUUCGAGUCAAGCAAGCGGACAGUCAGCUAAGAUACUGGAAGAGAACUCUCUAGCCCUGCACUUAAACUAGACUAGAAAUCCGAAAAAACACUAGUUUUGGCCCAUAGCGAAAUAGAGUUUUUCUUCUCCGCGGACUCCCCAUGCUUGGCGCCAUAGGCUUUAGGACUUUUGGCACUAGGGAAUCAUACUUUGAUCAGAUCCGUGGACAGGCUCCUGAGGUCAAAUCGGAUUAUGGACUUUUCCAGCUAAGUGAAAACGCACUUCACUACUAGCAAAGAAGUCAGCUCAGGGCAGGGCCGGUGGUAAUCUCAGAUAGGAACUUGCCGGGAUCCUUCCAUACCUGCCAUCCACCACUACUACUGAUCGUUUCCCAGAACGAGCCAUACCUUUUCCCAGAAUGAGAAUACGGCUGAGGACGAAUAGCGGCGCCUAGCUUUAGUUUCCACACGACACGAUGGAUCUAUCACUCUCUUUAGCCAGGCCAUUCUCUAGAGGAGAGUUCCGAGAAUGAAUUCCAAUCUGGUACCAAUCGUAGAAAUCGUAUUGUAGAGUUCUUCUCACACCUAGCACAGCUACAAGCAUUCCUCGAAUGCAGAGACAAGACGGAGGAUAUCUGAUCACGCGAAACAUCUGCUACCAACUACGAAUUACCUUGUUUCCAUGAAAUCCAUGUUUCUGGCACCUUGGCCCCCUCUACCUAGGAAAUUCUGAUUCCUAUGGUUGAAGAAAGUACAGCAUUGUCAAUUCAACCUGAAAAAAGGGGAAUAAGUUGACAAAGUCAGCUUGAAUAUUACGGUAUGGAUCAAAGGAAGCUAUACCCGCCUUGAUUUCUAUCAAACUUAUUAGAUAGUAAAGCAGACAAGUCUGAAAUGGAAUGUUUGAUCGGUAUAUGUAGGGCUCUCAAAAGAGAAUCUAUUUCAGCAUAGUUGAUUUUCAGAAGCCAACUAGAACUUCACAGCUGCCGUAUAGUUGAUUGUUCCCACCAGUUUCAUUCUCAUAUGGUCAGUUUCACGAAUGCAAGGAUUUACUACGACUCUCAGGUGUAAACCUUGGUCGUAUACAGCAGUGAACUAGCUAAAUAUAGCUAGAGGAGUAAUAUAGCUAAAUAUAGCUAUAGGGCAUUCCACAGAGGUGAAAUUCUCUCGGCAAAGUAGAACAAGAAGCAGCAGAAAGCAAAACAGUAUAAGGGUCGUUCGGAGUUCCAGGCACAAAACAAUUCUACAGAACUGGGUAUACCAAACAGUUGAUCAACAAGGCAAAUGUCCACUAAACCAGCUAAACGGCUCAUGAAUUGUUUGGAAUGCGACGGCAAAUGUGAUCUCCCAGCAAUAUCUCGAGUCCAAAACCUCACCCAUCUACAUAUAUCAUCAUCUGUGGCAAGAACAUAGCAACACCAAAAUCCUACCAGCAACUGCUGCAAUGCACCCUCCUCACGACAGCCAACCAUCGACGGUGUCAGACUAUGAUUCAGUUGCUGUACUACUCCUCUUUGUUCUGUUUCAUGUUUUUGGCGGUUUCGUUCUUGUGUCUGAGUCCAAAGAAGACGGUGGAUGUUGAUCCAGUAGCAAAAUUGUGCUUCCUGUUGUAGGAUUUAUGUAUCGUGCCGUGCGUAGAUUCAGACGACAUGGAAAAAAAUCCAGGUUUAUGUACGACACGCUCUUUCCUUCCUUCAUUCGGUGACGCACAGAGGUGGCAGAGUCUUGUUCCUGGAGUCGCUCACAACUUUUGGGAGCACCGAGAUCCUGAAUAAGAUGCUGCACGAAUUGGCUGAGGUGUUGGGAGCCCCCAAUAGAGAAGGACGAUGCGGAAAGGGAUGAUGGGAAAGUGACAAGACUGGACUUCGACUCGUUUAAAAAGAGUUGUAGCCAUACGGAAUUCCAAUUGGAAUGGACCCAUCUCAUGAUACAAGUUACCUUGGAUUUCUUUCUAUUCCUAUUUCGCUGGUCAAUUCUAGUUUUUGUUAUGAUGAUCUCAUGGAUAGUAGUAUUGAGUUCUAUAAACAGAUUGAUAGUAGGUUUUAAGAUAGCUUAGCCCUUGCUAUGAUUCAAUUUGUAUUGAAGAAGAGGGGCGCCAACCCUAUGGGGAAUGUAGCUAUGCUGUACUUCUUCCUACUAGCUACGGUGCAGCACCUGUUCCUAGCUACGAUGCUGCUCCUGUCCGCCCCUUGAUUUAUCACCGCUUUGGUCUUUUAUUGGUCAUUGAUUUAUAGAUGGGAGGAUAAGUACCCUGGCUCGACCCCAGAUAUCGAUUUAGCAUUCGAUUAUCGGAUCUCCGAAACGGGAAACCAGAAAAGUAAUCGAAAUCGUGUGCCAGCGGGACAUACGAAAUUCACACUUUUUGACUCUCAAUCCACAGGUGGAGAUACCAGGGGUGGGUUUUCAUGGCCUAUAGUCUCCCCUGCCGACGAAGCACGAACUACUUGUUGAAAUCGCGGAUCCAAAUCUUGCAUUUCUCCUUUACUCGUCAAAGGCCUCGUAUUGUUAUUCCCAUGAUUCAUGUGGGCUAUCUGCUCUUUAUUGUAGGGUCCUACUCCCACCUAUCCUUAAAAAACGAUGUGAGUGGCUCAUACUAAUCAAAUGUACAAGUAACUGACCCUUAUCAAGCUUUCCACACAUAGUGUUUUGAUCUAAGAUUGCAAUUCUUCCAUGUUUCCGCAGUAGCAUAUUGUUCCAUGGAGCUAGGGUCCAAAAUAGGAAUCAACAAGUGUUUCCACGACUCUACCACCCGGCCAAUCCUGUUCCACUGAAUCCCCUCCCUUUUUCAUGGCCACAUAUCUUUAUGGCUAAGGAGUGGGAAAUCUUUCUCCUGUUACACAAAUCAAAUGUUUCAUUUCAUCCGGGAAAAGCCACCUCUUUCUCCACAAACAAUGUCUUUGUCAUUUGAUCCUGUUUUUAUCCGUUAGAUAGGAACAGCUUUGCUAAAUACUGAGAACUCUCGGAUAGAGUAUUAGAAUGAAAAGACCAUUAAUUAUAUAAGGAAGAACCCAGGGUUCUAGCCCAUUCCCAUUCCUAAAUCAAUAAUUCGUAGUGCUUUUGCCUUUCUUGCGUACUCCUGGUGAACCAGUUGCUAGCCAUAUGUUUAGGAGGCUAUUUUCUCCUAUUAAGUAAGAUUCUUAAGCUUAAUAAGCCCAAAGAUCGAAAAGUACGGACCAUUUUGAAAUAAAACCGGACCAUUUGUAAAUCAAAAUAGAAAAACAAAUCUAGCUACUCUCUUCUCUGUCUCCUUCAGAAAAAGAAAGCUAAGGCAAUUGGUGUUGAAUAAACAAAACCACACCGAACCAGUUAGGAGUUUUCAGAGAUUAUGCCCAGCGUCACAUGACACCACUUCAUUGUAUGCAACACGAGGAACCGAUCAAGAAAGACGAAGCAGACAUGCACAAGUUCAAGAGCGAGGUCAGACAAGCAUGUAUCAGAAGAGCAACGUGAUCAAGGCUGCAGCUGCUGCUGCGAGGACUAACAUCACAAGGGAAAUCCGGCAGGAACUGAAGGCCACCGAUCCCGACCGAUCGCACGACACGGACGUCGAAAGCUCCUCCAUAGUCGACGGGGGCACUUCACUUGUCCUGGGGCGGCAGCAGCACGGACAUGCACAACUGAUUUCAAUUAGUACACACGAAGUAUGAUCAACGAUUCCGCAAAGAUAUUAAUUCCAGUGUUCAAACGAUCAAAUGGAUGAGAUGAUCAACGAUUGCUCAGAUUAAAAAACUAGAAGGUACAGUUACAACUUAACAGAUCUGUGCACUCAGAGUUUGAGAAGACUAUAUAUAUAGCAUCCGCAUCACCAGGACACUCGAUACUGUAAUUAGUAGGCAGUUACAAGUUAAUAGAACAGAUGCUGCAGGUAGAAGAAUUGAAUCAAUAAUCAGUUUUAUCAUACAAUCAAGUUUGAAUAUGUAUUCCUAUAGCCCUAUAGCAGCAUAUAACAAGAAAUGGAGAGAACACCACAAGUGAAAAUAAAAAAAUUUCGUUUUGUUGUGGGCAGAUGAGCAGGGAUCAUAUGGUGCGAAAGCCGAAAUGGCCAAGAGUCUCUGAAUGGCAUUAGUGGCCGCAGAUUCACCGAAUUACUAGACAAGCAGAAAAACGUUUACCUGGAGACAUUUUAGGCGUGGGAGGUGAGUCAGGUGUGAAAUGCAUCUCAGGAAGCGACUUGAGCCCUGUUUCAAAUGGGGGGAAACAAAUAAAUGAAAAAAUAAAAUUGGUACAUUCAAAAGAACUGCUCAACUGAUCAGUAAUCAUGACUAACCAUAGCAAAAAAGCACAGUAAUAAUAUCCCUAAGAAUAGCAUCCAGAGCUCGCUGGUAAUCCGCAUCUACCACCAACCAUCACCAAUGUAGCUUCACAAGGACUCACAAGAACAAGGAUAGGAGCGCAUAAACUUAUUUUGUAACUUGUUCGGUGAUCAAGAACACGCGCAUAGGGAGCACAAGAAUCGAUCGAAGCAUAUACUCGCCAUCAAGAAGGGACAAGUUUCUCCCCCCGGCCCUACUCCCCAACCAACCCACCGAACUAACUCCAUACGUUCAUCAUCAUACAUUGCGUACCGUGCAUUUUUCCUCUUCCUUCCAUACUGUGCAUGAGGCCUUUGGCUACUCAAUUUAUUUUCUUUUGCUGCUUCUCUAUUCUACAUAGACCCGGCAAUCUCCCUCCAACAAAAGCAUACUUUUUGAGUACUCUAAAGAAAUAUAGCCCAUUGGGCCGGCUUUAGGAUUAUGCUUACUCCUACUGUGGAGAAAACCAGAGGAGUCCGACUACCAUUUCUUCGUAUGAAGUACGUACUUGUUCUUCACCGUGCAAGCUCUACAGGUUUCGGAAUCCGAGGCCUUCAAGUUCAACCGUAGACGUAGAAGCAAACCGGUACUUAAGCAUCGAGCGAAUGAGAGACGAGUGAGACGCCUUUAGCUCCUAGAAUGCCUUCUUCAACUUUGCUAUACGCAAUUCGUGCGCCAAAUAGAACUGCUAGACUACGUCGAGUUGUGACCACUCAUGCCUCUAAAGAGCGAGGCAAAGGGUAACACUAGGGCGGAGCUCCACCUUUUGUUCUUCCAGCUCAGACUCCUAAACUAGAAACUAUAUAAGAGGCACGAGAUGAUCAGGUGUGUGCACUAAAGCUCGACAUGAUGAAAGCUUAUGAGAACUUCACUGCUAUAGCUGAUACGGGAUCUAAUGACUUAUUUCUUAAAAUAGGGUUUUGUGACUACCGAAAGUGUCUCUUUUCAUGACACAGGGGGGGUCUCUGUGGCCCUAGUUUCUUUGGCCCAUUUGAAAUGAGCUACGAAUAGGUCCUACUUCAGACAAUCCUUCGUUGUCCCUUCAGAGGAGAUGAGUGGGAUGACGAAUGAGUUCUUUAAACAUCUCUAUACUGCUGAAGGUACUGAAAGAAUGGAGGAUGUUCGUUCUGUCGACAGUUCCUCGGAAAGUAUCUCAGGCAAUGAAUGAGCAAUUGACUGCGCCCUUUACUGGUUCUGAAGUGUGACCUUUUUAAGAUGUACCCUGAAAGGCCCCUGGCCCGGAUGGCUAUCCAGCCCACUUUUUUUCAGCGAAGGUGGGAUUUCUAUGGUGAUGAGGUUAGUGACUUCAGUUACCGUCUCGGUUCUUUUCAAUGGGGAGCGUCUUGAGGAAUUCAAACCUUCUCAGGGACUACGCCAGGGAGAUCCAAUCUCUCCGUACUUAUUCUUGUUAGCAGCAGUUUAGGUAUUCGAAAUAGCGAAAUACAUAAAUUAUCUAUCUCAAGUACGUCUUGUACUUAUCUUGAGCCAUCAGUCAGAUUGAAUGCAGCGCCCUGCCGGCAGCUCCUGACCUCUGUUCCUAUGGGGGAAAGAAGGUGUGGCUUUGGACCCCAAACUCUUCCAUGACGCCCUUCUUCUUAUAGCAUGGGUAAGUGAUCAAUACAGACAAAAAUCACACCCAUUGGAUCCAUCCUGAUAUGAUUGGGUGAUUUGCACGUUCCCUUAAGAACAAGCACACACACACUAAAUCCUGAAAAGAAAGAUAGAUGCUCAUCUUCACACUGAUAGCAGCAGGCUCACUACGUACGUUGUCCAACCCACCUCAUAAGACAUCUUUCCUCGGAUAGCCAAGCGAAAGAGGAGGUCUCAAGCGUGCAAAAACACAUGUAUGAACAGGAAAAGAUGUGCAAUCAAGCUCAGAGACUGCAGAUAACGGAUCUCUCAGGCACCGGUUUCCCUCAGUUCAGGAAGGGAAGCGAGCUUUCAAGGGUCCAAGGAUAAAAAAGGUAAUUAAUAUGUCUCCGACCGAAGUGAUAGAUAAAGGCUUUACCCAUUGGCAAGGAACACUUGGAGGAGUGAAACAACGAUUCCGCCUAGCGUAGGACACGUAUAUUUGAUCCAAUCUAGCAAGCGUAGCCAGCCCCACCCACGGGUGAAAUUGUACAGCUCCCUAUCUCGUUGAAAGCCCCUUUGCUUACGGAAGAGAAGAGUUGGAUGCCGUGGUGGGAAAGCUCCCGUUUCAACUUUGCUUCUUGUAAGCUUCGGUAUAAAUAGCUCACUUGCGGGAUCUAAUCUCAUUCUAUGGGAACAGCUUUCAUUUCUAUCUUUUGGCUUAAAGUGGUGAACAAAUCCUUUCUCUUCACUUUUUGUGCUCCGCAUGGCUCCGGUCAAGAUGUGACUCAUCCUGUAUAUACAUAAUUAGGAGACCUCUCACGAACUUGUUAAAGAAAGGAGUACCAUUUGUGUGGACAAGCCAAAGCAAUCCUUUGAUGUUCUCAAGCAAGCUUUAAUUGAGGCCCCUGUGUUGGUUCUCCCUGAUUUCAGUAAAAGAUUUGUGCUAGAGACAGAUGCUUGUGGGCAUUGGAGCUGUGAUAAGGGGUAGAAGUAUUCGUGUGGGGUGGGUUUCGAAGGGAAGGUUGCACAAUAGAUUGGAGAUCCUUUGAGGAAGACUGAAAUGACUAUACUUAUAGAAUGGUCCAUAUCGAACAGAUACGAUACUGGUUUACACAGAGAAUAUCGCCUAGCUCUAAAACGGCAGCACCUGAGUGCAACUUAGAGUAAGAAAGAAUGACCUUCUGCUACCUUUUUACCGGGGCAUUGUUUUAACAACUUUAGCUGAUUGAUCUACGAAUGGAGGGAUUCCAGCUUAUUUUUGUUAACCGAGAUGCAAACGACUAACAAACUGGAUUCGAAGCCACCUGUCGUAAUAGUACCCGCGGGUUCUUUCUGUGGAGCCUUCAAAUGCAAUAGCUAGCUGCCCAACGGCCAAUGCCACAGGCAAAUCUCCAUUUUCCAACUUAUACAACUCUUUGGGGUCCAAAGAUACUCGCCAUUGCAACUUAAUAAAUAGGACCGGUGGGAUCGCCUUCAACAGAUAUAUCGGUUUCACUACUUUCGUACCCUUUGUUUUGGUCAUGUGGAUGACCCGCAGACCGUAGAUAAGAUGGAUACCCACGUACUGCCUUCAAUGAAGAGAGUUUUACCAAGGACCCUUAGACAGAUAGGGGGGACAGACAAGAGGUAUGCAACCUGCUGAAUAUUGUCACUGAAUCGCUCACUGACAAAUACUUGGGGCUCCCCUCCCUGGUAGGAGUGGAUAGGAGCGACUGCUUCCAACACUUAAUUGAGAGAGUUUGCACUCGGAUUAAUGGCUGCAAAGAGGAAGGGCUAAUUGGCUUCGCCAUGGAGACCGAAAUACGAGCUUCUUUCAUCACAUCAUUUUGCAAUGGAGAAAAAAGAAGAACAUAAUAAAGUUUCUGAAUGACUCAAACGGCAAUAGGAUCGAAGGUAAUGACCAGUUAGCAUCUCUGAUACAGGGUUACUUUGAGGGACUGUUCACCUCAGAAGUCCUAGCUCCCGACCCUGGGCUACUGGGGAAAGUAAACAUGCGAGUAACUGAAGAAAUGAACACAAGCCUCUUGGCUCCGUUCACGGCAGAUGAAGUAAAGGCAGCACUCUGAAUUCAAUCAAGAGUUAGGUACAGUAAUCUUCAGAUAUGACAAUACCUCCCCCAAAGCAUUGUCAAGUGUUGGAAUUAGGGCACCAACCACGAAUAGGAGCUGUAUAGAACUCCGCAAAGAGACCUUUGAUGAAGUCGGCAUCCUCCCAAGUGGCAUUUGCUUGAUCCAAACUAGCCCACUUCCUUGGUUGCUGAAAAACCAUGCAACGCAAGUAAUUUUCCACACACUGAUUCACACGUUCUGUCUGGCCAUCUGAUUGUGGGUGAUAGGCAGAGCUAAACCUCAAUUUCACUUGCAGUGCUUUGAAGAAGGCCUGCCACAUGUUACUUGUGAAUAUCCAGUUUCUAUCAGAGACUAUUGACUUUGGCAAUCCAUUCCACUUAAAAACAUUAUCCAUGAAAGCAUGAGAGACUGAUUGUACUGUACAAGGGUGAGCAAGGGGAAUGAAAUGAGAAUAUUUAGUGAACCUGUCCACCACCAACAAUAUGACUUCUUUGCCCAAUGAUUUGGGAAGACCCUCAAAGAAAUCCAGGGAGAUGUCAGUCCAAGCAGAAGUAGGUAAUGGCAGUGGAUCUAGGAGACCAGGGUAGUUGCAAUGCUCUCCCUUGACUCUUUGGCAAACUGCACACUCAUGUAGAAAAGUUUCAAUCUCCUAGCCUGGCGCCAAUCAAAUAGCUUUUUUACCCUUUGAUAAGUAGCCACAAUGCCUCAAUGGCCUCCUAUGGGAGAGUUGUGAAGUGAAUCAAUGAUUUGGUGUUUAAGAAUAGCAUCUGAUCCCACAUAUAUUCUUCCUUUAUAUCUCAAAAUGCCAGAAUGAAGAGUAUAAGGGGGUGCUGCAUUGGCUGAUACAGUGAGCUUCUCAAGCAGUGAUUUGUAGUGAUCAUCAUUAGUGUAGCUGGUUUCUACAGUUGAAGCCCAAGCAGGAGUAACUACAGUGACUGCCAUCAUAAGAGAAUCUCUUCUGCUCAAAGCAUCUGCAACCUUGUUUUCUUUUUUUGUAUUCAAUCUUGUAAUUGAAUUCAAGCAAUUUUCACAUAAGCUUGUGCUGGAUGCCCUCAGUUUUGAUCAAUAAAAGAAUUGGGAACCAAGAAAGUAGUGGCGCCAUCUCUUCAAGGAUUCACAAAUAGCUAAAGCUUCUCCUUAUCAUAAGUUGACAUAGCUGCAUUUCUGGGUCCAAGGGUUUUACUGAAAUAAGCAAUUGGUCUGCCUUGUUGCAUGAGGACAGAACCAAUACCUUGACCUGAUGCAUCUGUUUAAAAAGUAAAUGGUAGGGUCAAAUCAGGCAAAGCCAUAACAGGAGCAGUGACCAGACAAUUCUUCAAUGUUGUGAAGGCCUCAAUUUGAGCAUCUGACCACUGGAAUGAUUCUUUUUUAGACAGUCAUGAAGUGGCCUAGAAUUUAUCCCAUAAUUCUUGACAAAUCUUCUUUUUCUGCAGCCAUACCAAGAAAACUCCUCAACUGAGUGAUAGUCUUAGGUGCUGGCCAUUCUUUAAUGGCAACUAUUUUGUGGGGGUCUGUAGAUAGACCCUAUCCUUAGAUAACAUGCCCUAAAUACUCCACUUGAGGGACAGGAAAACUUCAUUUGCUAAUUUUAGCAUAUAGUUUUUAUGACCUUAGAAUGUCCAGGACUAACUUUAGAUGCUUGAGAUGAGCUUGUUUGCUAUAUAUCAGAAUAUCAUCAAAGAAUACCAAAAGGUAUUUCCGGAGCAAAAACAUGAUUCAUUAAAGAUUGGAAGGUAGCAGGUGCAUUAGUCAGUCCAAAUGGCAUCACUAAGUAUUCAUAAUGACAAAAAUAUGUCCUAAAAUUUUGGAAUGUCUUCUCUUCUCAUUCUUAUCUGAUGAUAACCUGAUCUCAAAUCAAGUUUGGAAAACAGUUGUGCACCAUGUAGCUCAUCUAAUAGAUCCUCAAUGACAGGAAUAUUGAAUUGAUUUUCUGCACUUAACCCGAAAGCAAGUUUGAAAACAAGACCUGCUCUGUGAAGUGAUGGAAGUAGUGAAGGUUUAGGCUUCGGAUCUGUGAAGUUUAGGUUUUGGAGUAGAGGUCAGAGGCUAGUGCGGGUAGCCCUGUCGGAAACUAGAAAGAAGAGGCUGAUGCACCUGCCCGGCGGUGGGUGGGUUCAGGUCGAUCAACUGGGAUAGGAGUUUUUUCUCUAUCUUGCUCCAUGGUGUUCAAGCAGUGCGUCCAGAAAGCUGUGAUUCAUGGGAGGGAGCAGCUUCAAUAGCUUUGGCUGUGAAAACUCUUGGUCUUGGAGCAUCAGUGUCAUCAGUUCACCCAAGAUCAGCAGGACAAAUAACUACUAGGUUUGUGCCAGAAAAGUGUCUUGCAUGACGGGGAAAGAGUGGAAAAAGAAAGAGAUUCAUCAGCUAUGGAAUCUGACAGGUAUCGGUAUUGAACAGAGGGGGCUGUUCACAAAGCAUCCCAUGGAUGGUAAUGGUGCUUCCCCAGCUGCUGUUCCUACUCCUUUGGCUGGUGCCAAAUCAGGUGACUUUGAAGUUGAAGCUUGCCCGCAGAACGAUGUAACCAUGCUGGUAGUACUAUGAUUGCCUUAGAGCGCAGAUGUCUCUGUCCCUAGGAACGUGAUGCUUAGGUGCGAGGUGAAACACAAGCAGGAGAUCGAGAAAAGAAAUCAUACGGAUUGCAACCUACAGAUGAAGAAUCUGCUUCAUUGUUCCCACCAUCUAUAUCAGAUGUUUAAUAAGAAUAGGAAUCGAAUAAGCUGCUGAUUGACUGAGGAAGCAUUUGAAAAGAAAGGAAGGGUGAUGCUUGUUAAACAAAGCUGCGUGUGGGGCCGCCACGUAUAGCUGUAGUUUCUGCUGUAGCAUCGGUUAUUUCCGUUAUUGCUGUAGUAGCAUCGGUUAUUGCUCAGGUUACGAAUGACCCAAUCUAUCUAUGGCAACCACCCCUACUUUUAGUAGAUGGAGAUGCGCACCUAGAAAAGACGGAUGAAAGAGAACCUGCCCUUCUGACUUCUUCUCUUGUCUGUCCUUUACGCAGAGCGAUCUAUGGUCUCAACAAGCCCCGAUAGCGUCGGUUUUUGAAGUUCAGCACAGUGGUUAUGUUAUCCAGGCAGGGUUUGCUCGGAGUGAUCAUGAUUCGGCCAUGUUCGUAUCAGUUUAUCCUCGAGGACGUGCUAUUCUGUUGUUGUAUGUUGAUGAUAUCAAACUGACUGGUGAUUACUCCGUUACCAUAUCGCUGAUCAAGUGUCGCCUUCAUCAAUUAUUUGCUAUGAAGGCGCUGACGUGCCCUAAGCCUUUUCUUGGCUUGGAGGUCGCACAUUCUCCUCGUGGAUAUUUGGUAUCUCAGAUCAAAUAACGUCAUGACUUGAUCACUCGAGCUCAACUCAAUGAUGAGAAGACUGUUGACACUCCCUUGGAGCUUUACGUUAAACUCCGUCCGACUUAUGGCUCACCAUUAUCUGAUCCGACGCACUACAGACAGUAGGUCGGCAGUUUGGUUUAUCUGACGAUCUCUUGCCUAGAUGGCUUUUCCUAAGAAAGUCAGCCUUUCAUGGCUGCCCCCCAGUCAGUUCACUUUGCAGCAGUUCAUCGGAUUCUUAGAUAUAUUCGAGGUACCUUUUCUCGAGCCGUCCUUUUUUCCUUCAUCGUCUUCUUUAGAGUUGCGUGCAACUACUGAUGCCGAUUGGGCCUUCAGAUAGGUGCUCAACUACAGGCUUAUCUAUUUUAUGGGGAGACGAGACACUAUCUUGGAUGAGAUAAAAGCAAUAGACAGUUGCUCCUUCCACUGCCGAAGUGGAGUACCGUGCCAUGGCACACUACUAGAUAGAUUGUAUGGCUCCGUUGGUGACUUUCUGAUCGCGGGUUUCAUUUGAAAAACCCCAACGCCAUUCAUCUUGCGUCAAAUCCAGUCUUUCAUGCAAGAGUUUCAUUUUUGGCCGCUACUACGUUCGUCGAAAACUUCUUGAUGGCACCAUCAUCUCAUUACCUUAUUUUUUCCCUUCGACUUCGGCUAUGACCAAUGCCCCACCUAGCUGAAUAGGCGUAACAAAGCUACCUGAAAAAGGCAAGGUGCACCUUAGAUUGAAAUUGACAAAUUUCGUUUUGCCAGAUGGAUUCUUUAGAAAGAUUCCCGGAUAAAGUUCAGUAGAAUAUUUAGUUAGAAUCUGAAUAAAGGCGCAUACGUGGGCGGGCAGGGGCCCCCACUACUUCUUCAUUCAGGGGGGGGGGCUAGCCUCAUGACUUCCCACUGGGCGAGGGGUGCACCUAACCCACCUACUCACUCAUCAAUUAUGGUGUUCAGCUGACUUGCACAGAAAGACCCCUAUUGUUUAGUAAUUUGGCGCCCCAUCUUUUGAUUGACUGUUGUCAACUAAUCUUUUCAAUGUUCAAUUCUACUCUAUGUUAGAACAUUUCUGUGAAUGCUAUUUCGAUCUAAGUGGUCCUAUUCUCUGUCCCGUGCUAGGAAGCAUUACUCCUCUUUUCAUUCCAAAUUCUUCAAUAAGACCGAUACGAUUGAUUGGUCUGUGUGUUUCUCUUAUUACUUUUUUGUAUCCCCCUGUUCCUCGGAUACAAUUCGAUCCUUCUACGGCCAAAUCUCAAUUUGUGGAAAGCCUUCGAUGGCUUCCUUAUGAAAACAUCCAUUUGUAUAUGGGUAUAGACGGUCUUUCAUUAUUCUUCGUGAUAUUGACCACAUUUCUGAUCCCUAUUUGCAUUUCAGUGGGUUGGUCUGGUAUGAGAAGUUUUGGGAAAGAGUAUAUUACAGCAUUUCUAAUUCGUGAAUUUCUAAUGAUCGCCGUGUCCUGCAUGCUGGAUCCUCUACUAUUCUAUGUUCUUUCCGAAAGCGUGCCAAUCCCUAUGUUGUGCGGAGCUGAGCAUCUUCUAUUCGCUGGGAUCAAGCUUUUCCUCUGCAGGGGCCUUGUGAGUAAACCCCCUACGGGCGGUCCCCCGUCGUCGUAAAGUAGUAAAGGUCCCCGCGAAGCUUUCGGGAAGAGGGGUAGUCUUGUGCGUAAGCAUAGCAUUUCUGGUCGAACCACCGAACCACACAUCUUUUUUUGGUGGGAGGGUACUCCGAGUAGUGGGUACCUCGUAGGACCUCGACCCGCCUACUCAGGUCUUGUAUGGAUAUGCAGGAAGGGGUGCUCCUAGGUGUGUGUAGGGGGUGUGUUUGUUCGCGAGAAUGAAUUCCUCGUCAAGUCAGGGGGGUGUGGACACACUUGCGCGAAUUCGGGUAACGGCUACAAGGGAUAAAAAUAAAGGAAACUGUACCCGACCAGGGAUGGACGUAAACUCGUAAGCUACCGAGGGUAGGGAUAAUUGUCCAGGUCUUAUUAAAAAAAAGCCGCCCCGCCACUGUAGGCAGGUUAGUUCCUCUGUCGUUGACGGAGAGUUCUUGGCGAAGAGACCUUAGGAUAAGUUGCUAAAACAAACGGAGGGGAGGAUCGACCCGUUCAGUAGAAUUCCGAAGAAAGACUGUUGGCAGCAGGUGGAGACAUUUCUUUGGCCCCCUUCCAAAUAAAUGCGGGCAGGGUAGAGCUCGGCAGAGGGUUCGAGAAUAGGGUAGGGUUUUUUACGGUCGGGUCCCCUACCACUAGUUCGGCUAGCCUUCUUUCGGGCAGGAAGCAGGCCUAAACGACGGGCGGGCAUCUCCCGCUACGCAAGCAGCAUUGUUCGCCACCACCCGAGAAGCAAAAGAUUCGAGAGUAAAGGUGGAAAAGACAAGCAUAGUGGUCUAAUGACAAGGGCCGACGACGGAAGCUCGGGACGGAGCCGUAUGAUGCGGAAGUCUCACGUACGGUUCCCUGAGAAGGGAGUGGCUACCCACUGGAGCUUCGACCAACUACCACCGGUCAAUUCUGUCUUAUCUCUGUGCCUCCUCUAGCACGGCAAUCAUUUGGUUCUGUGCCUCCUUUGAUGACAUUGAAGAAUGCAGUCAUUAUGCUGCCUUCAAAGGAAUCACUGAACAUGCUACUAGAACAUGCUUCUUUCUCAAUUUAUAGGAAUCGUUAACCGCAACUCUCCUUUUCAGGCUUGGAUUGGUUUUUUGAUGCAGUAGAGAAGCCGUUUCCUUUGAACUUGGUCCAUCGGACAGAUAUAGACAUGGAGAAGCUUUUCAAUGUCAAUCUUUCACUACUUUGUUUGGACCUUGCUUCUUCACUUAAUGCUUGCUUUCCGUCUUGCCUUUGCUGGGCCUAUGAUAGGCUGUACUCCAAUACGAAAUAGGAUUGUACAUGAAGGUUGGUGAAAAGCAAAAGAAGCAAUUGGUUCUCAAAUGCCGUGACGUCACCUAGCUUUAUUCUAUAUUUCUCAUUCUAUUGGUAUGUAUAGUGUCUUUCAUCUGCUUUUUCAUUCAUGCUGCCCACAGCCGUUAGGUAUUAUGACAAAAGGAACCAGCAUGUUGCUCCUGAAUCUACAGAUAGAGAAGAGGGCACGUCUCUUUUUCUAGAAGCCGGUCUAUGUUCUUAUUCUUAAUCGAAUUCUAAAGAAACGUCAGUUUCAAAUCACUUCCAUUGGGCUGAGCGGGUCAUAUAUGCCUUUUGGCUUUCACCUAUGUUAUGUAUUCUCUCACAAUCACUCCUAGCAAUAAGUGAAAAGGCGGCUACCGAUACUGUCGCAACACCUCCUCUUCUGUGUCUACUUCUCCAUUCUAAUUUCUGACUGGUUCACGCCUGCUUGUGUAUUGGUUAUAACCUUUGUACUGUAUUUUGUUUGGCUUAAAUUGCCAAAUGGCGAGACCAGACCCCAUGAAGCUUCUAAGUCUGAUGUUGAUUUGCAAGAAUCAGAUUUACCAAUGGGAAGAACGCUUAGUGUAUCCGCGGUGGGUGAAUCUUAGGAAACUCGCCUUGUCCGAACAAAAGCGGUAGGUAGGUAGGUGGUAGUUAGAAGGAUUCCUUCGGGGAGCUGCUUCUUCCUCUGGAUUCCCUUCUUCUAUAGACAGACCCCCGACUAGGGCAGCAGCGUUUUAAAGAAAUACGAACAGUUUGGUUUUCAGUGAGCCCGCUUCUUAGUGAUAGGUUUCUAAAGUAUCUAUCGCUAUGUGCCCCUCCCCAGAAAAAAACAAAUAGGCUCGGGCAAUUAUCAGCUUAGGGACAGCAAGCGGAUAGUAGAUCUGGCUCCAUCCCUUAAAUCCGCUGUAACUGAUAGAAUCUUGUACGAGAGACCCGCAAAUAAAUAAGGAAACCCGCUUAAAACGCUUUUUAAGUAGAAGCUGAGCCAUUACCUGCUAGCAUAUCUCCCCACCAGGACUCCCCCCAAAGCAAAGCGAAACCCGUUCUUUAAUUCAAUACCUAGAGACGCUCCAGUCCAAGUUGAGGCGCGGUAGGAGGGAUUUCUGUCACCAUUAUUUAUGGACCACGUAAACAUACUUUUUUAGUUUAGAUUCUUAUGCUGGACCUGCAGCCCUAGCCUGGGACACCACUGUGCGACAUAAAGAUCGGAUCAAGUUAUGAUUUUCUCAUUAAGAAAGAGUACCCAAGAAGAAUAGAUAUGAUCCGGAAACACUCUUAUUCGACGAGGCGUAGAGCGUUUGACUUUCUUCUUUACAAUUUCCUUAAUGCGCAUGAAUGAGAGAUUACAACACUUAGUAUGAGCAUAUCGGCCUAUGGAAGAAAGUUCGUAUCGUAUUAGUGCGCUUUAACUAAAAAGCCAUUAGCUACAACCUUUGAUCAUGGUUUGGUAUCCAAAUAGGAAAUUCUAUCCAGUCCCUCGCUACACUAUUUAGACGGAUUGAAGCUUAAGCCAGAUCGAACUUGUCUGAGUAUAUGCAUUGAUCCUAGAAUAGAUUCACAAGCUGAAGGGAGCCUCCUAAGAAGAAUAUGACUAAAUACUCGGGUCAAUCCCCCAUUGGGGAGGGUAUCACGUUUGGUGGAGUUCGCUAUCAGCCAAACUUGAGCUCUUUUGACAGUCCUAAGAAAAUCACUCACCCCGGCGGAUCCGGAAUUCCAUUAUCAGGGCAAUCUUCUUAUGCUCAGCGCAGACGCACCUCUCCUAACUAUGGAGUUAGCAAAGGGGUAUCUCAAUCCAUCCUAUCUUUUUACGAGGAUCAUAGGAAUUGGGAUAACCUUGGGCUCUUCCCGCGCCCUUUCAGGGUUCUUGGUUAUCACUUGGCUAUUCGCUCCAUUCCUCUUCAAUCCAUCAGGAUUUGAGUGGCAGAAAAUAGUAGAUGACUGGGAUGACUUCUUUUCUUUCUUCUGAAGUCAGUGUGCUUCUUUACCAGGCAUAACAUGAUAAUUCCUCUAUGGCGUGUGCUCCUUUCCUAUGUAAUGACUUUCCUCCUUUUUCAUGCCUCGUGCGCGUGCAUAAGCUACGAGUUCCCUGGCCCACCCUAGUUCAUCGAAUAGUGAGACUGUUCAGCCGUUAAUGCACCUAGGACGUGCUUACUAGGAAGAUGAGAGACAUGCUCGCUAGCCCCAAGUUGGGGUGCACCUAAGUUCUAUCAUACAUAAGGAAAUAUCUAUUGGACCAAGGGAUGCCUGCUCAAUUCCAUUUUAUGGUUCGAUCUAGCAAAAUUAUUAACAUAGUUCAAAUCGGGACGAGGAAAAGAAGGCAUAGGAGUGGCAGAUGCACGAUCACUUGUAAAGUCCUAUGAGCCAGGUUUAUUGACUGGAUUGUGUACCAUAGAAAGUAAGUCUACCAAGAAGCUACCAUUGAAAUGGAAUCUGGAAUAGUAGGAAGAGUCCUCGAGUCAAACAUCUUGGUCUACCCUACCCAGUAGGAUUCAGCAACCACUGAAAAGCAAGGAGAAAUCUUUGUACGUAAUCCUUCGCUCGAUCAUUUGCAUCAGCAUGUCUUUCUUUUGCCAAAACAAAAAGACGAAGCGAUUUCCUCUUGUUCGAGUGUUAAGCAAGCCUGUUGCCUCUUGUUGUUCUAGGGUCAGCAAGUAGGAAACAAGGCUUGCUUAACACUUGUCUUCUGUUCCUGUCCCCUUCCAAGUUAGGGGAUGGUUCAUGCCCUUUGAAAUGAGAUUCUGAGGAAGAAACGCGCGCUGUAUCAUGAGUUAGUAGGUCAAUGAAGGGAACGAUAGCUCAACUUGUUUUUAUGAAGUCAGAUUUCCCUUGUUUUGCACUUCGCAAGGGGAUGACUUGCGCUUGCUGUAGCCUAACUUUUUAUAGUUCGAAAGGAAGAAAUACUCCAUCUGUUUGUUCUUGACUUAAGCAGUUCCUGUAGUUAGGUUUCCUCAAUCAAAGAGGAAGGAAGUAUGAUUCAAGUCACUAGUUUACUGGGUUUUUUUGCCUUGGUAGUCCGGGAGAUACUGAUUAUGUCGGUACGGACAAGUUCGAUUCGAGCAAACUAUGGAGAAGUACAACAUGCGUAAAUUAGACAUUGGAAAUGGAGGUACAAGCGAGCGACUAAGUCGAUUUCCUUUGUUUUUGGCGAUAAUUAAACUAGAGAAGCUGCUGUGAGCGACGGGAAGCCAUUUAUUUUCAUAAAUGUGUAGAAGGAGAAACGUUUCUUUCCCUUCCUAUUGCGUUUAGCAAUGGGGAUAUAAUAUAGUGAAACAUCCCGAGUUAUAUUAUACAUGGAGCAAUGGCCCCCCUUUCGGGCGCAUGCUUCCCCUUCUCAGUCUCUUUCGCACUGUUUGUUCACUCUGAUCUGAGCCCUCAUCCCUGGAUGUCAGUAGCAGUUUCUUCUUCGACGAGCUCGACUCAGAUAUAUCUUCCGCCCGGGUGGCACAAGCAAAGAGAGAUUGCGCUCUCUUUUCCGAGAGAUUCUUUCUUGUCAAGUAGAUGACUGGCUGGGUAGCGAGUACUACUUUAUUCGCGGUACUAACCUCCCCUCAAGUCCCAGGAAGAGAGAAAGGAUACCAUAUUACAAGUAGGUGGUUGCUUAGAGCUUAUGGCAAAGAAUGCCACCCGCCUUACACACACUCGGAUGAAAUCAUCCUACGUAAGAAGACAAAAGGGAUAAGAAGAAAGCUUCGGGUCUAAUGGAGCAGCUUGACCGCUAGCUUCGACCUCCCCAUUUCUACUUACGUUACUAUGGAUCAAGAAUUAUUACAGGAAUCUCGGGCGAACCAGAAGGGACAUCGUUCGAGCUUUAGUUAAGCGACUCAUAAGAGGAUCAAUGGGCCUUCCCUUCUCCCUCCGUAUGGAUACAAAGAUGGACAUAUUAGCAGCUUAACGUAUCUCACGGCUAUCUUGGCUCAUACUACCACCUCCAAUAAUCCCUUUGGUUGAGGCAUCGAAUGGCGAACCCCGACCAAAGAAAGGGAGUGCAUUCCUUUUCAUUCGAUUUAAAGUAGAUACACUACGUCUUUAACUGAUUGUAUUAGAAGCUGCCCUAUCAAGAACCACCCUGUAGAAGCAUCUCAACCACCUAACUCGAAUAAUCAUAUAAAAAGAGAAAACAUAGUCCAU
rnacentral:lncRNA from 1 species